ensembl:snRNA U7 U7 small nuclear RNA
AAGUGUUACAGCUCUUUUAGAAUUUGUCUAGCAGGUUUUCUGACUUGGUCGGAAAACCAAA